UAAAUUUCAAACUUCAAAUUUCAAAUUUCAAAUCUCAAAGUUUCAAAUUUGAAAUUUCAAAUCUCAAAUCUCAAGUUUCAAAUUUCAAAUUUCAAAUUUUAAAUUUUAAAUUUAUAUUUUAAAUUUUAAAUUUUAAAUUUUUUAUUUCAAAAUUUAAAUUUUAAAUUUAGAUUUUUCUAUUUCAAAUUUGAGAUUUUAAACUUUCAAAUUUUAAUUUUUAAAUUUCAAAUUUCACAUUUCAAAUUUUAAAUUUUAAAUUUUAAUUGAAAUUUUAAAUUUUCAUUUUAAAAUUUAGAGAAAUUUCGUGGAAUUGCAUGACGCGCAUUUAAAUAGUUUAAAAAUUGAAUCCGUAGAAUUUUUUAGAGUUACAUGAUUUCCUAUUUCAUCUAGACCAAAAGCAAAGUUUAUAAAUUCCGUGGAUAUUUUUUACUGUAUAUCCAAACAAGCCCUUAGCGGGUGUUUGGUUAUAUGCAAAAAGACUCUGAAAAAUAAUUUUCAGUUGAAAUAUAUUUUGUUGAUGUUCGAUUCUCUGUAAAAAAAUUUUCUCAAAAAUUUUCUUUUACGAAUCCGCUGAAAAAUUAGAGUUUUCGCUUGCCCCUCUAUUCGAGCAGAAAACGGAAAGCUACAGGAAAAAAAUAGCAGGGCUCAUGCCUUUUUGCAUGCGGUCCUCAGGACCACCUGAGAGAGAGAGAGAGAGAGAGAGAGAGAGAGAGAGAGAUGAGCGGUCCUCAGACCAACCUGAAGAGAGAGAGAGAACAGUGCUCUCUCUCCUCCUCUUUGAUUAAUAUAUAUAUAUAUAUAUAUAUAUAUAAAAAUUGAGCUUAUAUUUUUAAAUAUAUGUUAUAUUGCUUGUAAUUUUUGGCCAUUGAAUUAAAAGAAUGUAGAUUAGAAUGAUUGGGUCCUUUAAGGUAGUGAGUGGUUAGUUGAAUAGUGUAAUCUAAUGAUUGAAAAUGAUCAAAAGACGUAUCUAACGUUAAAAACUUACAAGUAUCAAGAGCUUGAUGCUUUUACAAGCACCGUAGCCAGAUUCUCUCUCUCUCUCUAUAUAUAUAUAUAUAUAUGUAAUAUUUUAAUAUAAAUUAUAAUAAUUAAAUAUAUUAUGAUAAUUAUUAUAUAUUAAUAAUAUAUAUAAUAAAAAAUAUAUUAAAUAAUUUUUUAUUUUUUUUUUCAACCAGACAACCGUUAUGAAAAUCUUUUUUUUUUUCUAUGAACCAAACACUAAACAACCUAAAACUUUUUUUUUUCACUGAAAAUUUUUUACACCGAAAUUUUUUUUCACAAUUUUACGUGAAACCAAACACACCCUUAGUGUUUAUAUUUUCUUACGUUGCAUUCAUCCUUUGCUCAAUUUUUUUAAAAAAAAAGUCAGCAAGUGAUCUUGUCCCAUAAACCAACUAUAUGAGAAAGUCCAGGGACUGAAACCAAGUCUCAAGUACUAUCCAAACAUUUAAUCCAAAGAAAACAAAUUAUACCUAACAUAUAUUUAUUCCUCGUCUUCUCCAUUUGUUUUUUUUUUUUUUUUUUUUGAGAGAUAGAUAGCACGCUACCCGUUUCGUUUACUUCAUUUAAAAAUAAACUUAGCUGGAAAUAUGAAUCAACUAGGAUUCGAACUUGGGUCUCGGAUACCAACCAUCAAGUCUUUUGCCACUUGCUUUAGGGACAGCGGUGUCUCCAUUUGUUGUGGAGAAAAAGAAGAUGUGGAUG
rnacentral:lncRNA from 1 species